AGUGAACGCUGGCGGUAGGCCUAACACAUGCAAGUCGAACGGCAGCACAGGAGAGCUUGCUCUCUGGGUGGCGAGUGGCGGACGGGUGAGGAAUACAUCGGAAUCUACUCUGUCGUGGGGGAUAACGUAGGGAAACUUACGCUAAUACCGCAUACGACCUACGGGUGAAAGCAGGGGACCUUCGGGCCUUGCGCGAUUGAAUGAGCCGAUGUCGGAUUAGCUAGUUGGCGGGGUAAAGGCCCACCAAGGCGACGAUCCGUAGCUGGUCUGAGCAGAUGAUCAGCCACACUGGAACUGAGACACGGUCAAGACUCCUACGGGAGGUAGCAGUGGGGAAUAUUGGACAAAGGGCGCAAGCCUGAUCCAACCAUACCGCGUGGGUGAAGAAGGCCUUCGGGUUGUAAAGCCCUUUUGUUGGGAAAGAAAUCCAGCUGGCUAAUACCCGGUUGGGAUGACGGUACCCAAAGAAUAAGCACCGGCUAACUUCGUGCCAGCAGCCGCCGUAA
rnacentral:rRNA from 1 species